rnacentral:rRNA from 1 species
AUUGAACGCUGGCGGCAGGCCUAACACAUGCAAGUCGAGCGGAUGAGAGGAGCUUGCUCCUUGAUUUAGCGGCGGACGGGUGAGUAAUGCCUAGGAAUCUGCCUGGUAGUGGGGGAUAACGUCCGGAAACGGGCGCUAAUACCGCAUACGUCCUACGGGGGAAAGCAGGGGACCUUCGGGCCUUGCGCUAUCAGAUGAGCCUAGGUCGGAUUAGCUAGUUGGUGAGGUAAUGGCUCACCAAGGCGGCGAUCCGUAACUGGUCUGAGAGGAUGAUCAGUCACACUGGAACUGAGACACGGUCCAGACUCCUACGGGAGGCAGCAGUGGGGAAUAUUGGACAAUGGGCGAAAGCCUGAUCCAGCCAUGCCGCGUGUGUGAAGAAGGUCUUCGGAUUGUAAAGCACUUUAAGUUGGGAGGAAGGGUUGUAGAUUAAUACUCUGCAAUUUUGACGUUACCGACAGAAUAAGCACCGGCUAACUUCGUGCCAGCCGCCGCCGUAACAC